rnacentral:rRNA from 1 species
GACGAACGCUGGCGGCGUGCCUAAUACAUGCAAGUUGAGCGCUGAAGGUUGGUACUUGUACCGACUGGAUGAGCAGCGAACGGGUGAGUAACGCGUGGGGAAUCUGCCUUUGAGCGGGGGACAACAUUUGGAAACGAAUGCUAAUACCGCAUAAAAACUUUAAACACAAGUUUUAAGUUUGAAAGAUGCAAUUGCAUCACUCAAAGAUGAUCCCGCGUUGUAUUAGCUAGUUGGUGAGGUAAAGGCUCACCAAGGCGAUGAUACAUAGCCGACCUGAGAGGGUGAUCGGCCACAUUGGGACUGAGACACGGCCCAAACGCCUACGGGAGGCAGCAGUAGGGAAUCUUCGGCAAUGGACUAAAGGCUGACCGAGCAACGCCGCGUGAGUGAAGAAGGUUUUCGGAUCGGAAAACUCUGUUGGUAGAGAAGAACGUUGGUGAGAGUGGAAAGCUCAUCAAGUGACGGUAACUACCCAGAAAGGGACGGCUAACUACGUG